CCUUUGUAUAUAAUUAAGGAAGCAAGGAAGGAUACAUACAUACAUGAAGUUCGUGGACGUUCACGAACGAAGAGGGAGUUGGUGAUGGCCCGUUCUCGGAACUCGAAGCCGAUAAAAUCUACGCUCCACUGAUUUAUUUCUUAUUAUUAUUAAAACAAAACCGUAAAUCUGGAGGGAAGGAAGGGGAAAGUUAACCCAUUCGUUUCUGGUUUGAAAGCGAGGUUGCGGUCUAAUCAGAUGUCGCCAAAUAUGAUUCGGGACUCGGAUGGAUCGCCACGAAUCGUGCUGUCCGAGCCUACCGGAUCAACUGCCGAGGUGCUUUUAUAUGGUGGGCAGGUUGUUUCCUGGAAGAAUGAACGAAGAGAAGAAUUACUUUUUAUGAGCAGCAAGGCUGUAAGGAAGCCGCCUAAAGCCAUCAGAGGAGGUAUGCCCGUCUGUUUCCCGCAGUUUGCAAACUGCGGUUCCCUCGAGCAACAUGGGUUUGCAAGGAACAAAUUAUGGUCACUGGAUGAUUGUCCUGAACCAUUGCCCCCAGCCAACAAUCCCUCAACUGUAGAUCUUGUUCUAAAAUCUACUGAAGAGGAUCUAAAGACUUGGCCACACAGAUUUGAGUUGCGGCUCCGUAUUUCUCUUAGUGCGGGGAAGCUCACAUUAAUCCCUCGAGUGAGAAAUACAGAUAGCAAGGCCUUCUCAUUUAUGUUUGCACUCCGUAAUUACUUCUCUGUAUCAGAUAUCAGUGAAGUACGUGUUGAGGGCUUGGAGACACUUGACUACUUCGAUAAUUUGUUGCGCAAAGAGAGGUACACAGAGCAGGCAGAUGCAAUUUCCUUUGAUGGUGAGAUUGAUAGAGUAUAUUUGAGCACGCCAACCAAGAUUGCCAUAAUUGAUCAUGAGAAGAAGAGAACUUUUGAGAUGCGUAAGGAAGGCAUGCUGGAUGCAGUUGUGUGGAACCCUUGGGACAAGAAGGCCAAAACUCUUCCUGAUUUGGGCAAUGAAGAUUACAAAACUAUGUUGUGUGUGGAUUCUGCUGCUAUUGAAAGUCCAAUUGUUUUAAAACCUUUUGAAGAGUGGAAGGGCCGUCAAGAAAUCUGUACUGUAUCCUCAAGUUAUUGCAGUGGGCAGUUGGAUAUGCGGAAGGUUCUUGGUUUUCGUUGACUUCAUCUGCAGAGUUUAACUUAAUCAAGUGUAUCCUGGAAGCCCGAACAUCUCAAUUACUGAACCAGGUGUCAGUUUCGUGUCAUAUGAUGCUUCUCCCAUGAUCAAGAAUUGAGCUUGUUUUGAUGGCUGCUCCUAGACCUUCAUUGAAGUUCUUUCUCACCAUGCUCAUAAUGAGCCCAGAAAACACAAUCACCAAUCGCACCAACAUUCCUGCAUUAUUGCCAAUUACCAGUUGGUACGUUUCCUUGAAUGAUAUAGGGUAAUUGACCUGGCAUUUGAAGCAUGUAGUGAUACUUGGCUAUUAGUUGUCCUCUCCUGAUCAGCUCUUAAGAUCUUGAUUGAAUUCUAGAAGAGGAAAGACAUUAAAUUUAUGGAUCAACUUUUAAGAUCUUGAUUGAGUUCUGUGUUUGUUAAUCAAAUUC